AAAAAAAAAAAACCAAUUAAAAUGCCUUUCUGAAUGCAUUUGAAAUGAAAUAAGUUACUGUAAUUUCCCUGGGCAAGCCAGCUCUUUGGAGGGGGCGAAAGUUGCAAAUGGAAAAACAAACAAACAAAUGAGUGAGUAACUGGGAUGUGCUGCCAGAAAAUCAGAAGCAAGCCUGGUAGAAGGCGGAGGGAAAGGCUCUUGUCUGCCCUGGGACAAUUUGUAGAAACCAAAAUGUGGGAGAGAGUUGAAAUGAACAGGAGAAAAAAAUUCCACUGCCUUUUUUUUUUUUAUCCAGAUAAUCAUGUUAGCAGGACCCAUGAUGCUGCUAUGAAAGACGACUGACUUCAGGCCUUUGAAAAAGAAAAUAGAAAUUUCCACUUUUGUUGUUCAGGUUUUUCCUUUAGAGGGAAAAGGAAACUAGGAGCAGAUUGAGGCAAUGAGAGGUGAAGUGUCUUGCAAUGCUGCACCAAGCCAGAGAAAUCAUAAUAACAGAAACAUAUUUGUCUGGUGGAGUGAACAGAAGAAAUGUUGCAGAAUUGAGAUACGAAGAACCUCACUGCAGAAUAGAAGAACUGUCAUUCUGGUUGGUUGUCAUUAUUGUUUCAUGUCCAGUUAAGUGAACUUAAAGUGACAGUUGUGUCAUAACUGCUGGCAUCUAUGUAAAUUUCAAAUCAAAUACGAUAGAGGAAUUUCUGCCAGACAGAAGUCACCAGGCUGCUCUUCCUCUUCAUUUUUGUAACCCUCCAUUUUCUCGUGCCAUUGCUGGUAGCCCUUAAAUUAAAAAAGACAACUUCAACAGGGGAUCUCUGUGAUGUGUGUGUUUCAGUGCUCAGCCUGUACCUUGCUUUCUCUCAGCUUUUCAAAUCAACGCCCAGUGUCAAAUUUCCACCAGAAACAGUCACCACAAACAUCUAGAUGGAUUAGCUAAACCUGUGCCUUCCCAUUAAUGAUGUAUCAUACAACAAGACCCUAUGAAGUUCAAUGUUGAGAACAACCCCUGAAGACCUACAGAGAAAACAGCUUGAGCAAAUGUUCCUCGAUUGGUUUACUGCAGCCCAAGCCAAACAUCUUCUCUGUGGAUAGCAGCAAAAUAGGCAGAAAACAUUGCUCCUGGACCUUUUUUGUACAUUACAGCAUUGUUCAGAGAUCAUGGGAACUUCAUCAAUUUAUCAGACAUAUUCCUCCAUUGCAAUGAGCUACAUGUAAAUAAUUAAUUUCUUGGAUACACUCAGAUAUUCUAAUUACACAGGAUUUGCUACUGGACACACAUAUUUGAAAAUAAUUUCAAUGCAAUUAUAAAGGUAUUUUUUGUGGACAACACCAUGAAAAAAUAUUAAAUGUGCUAUUUAUUCUUUCAGGGAUAAUAUACUAAUUUUUUCUGCAUAGUUAAAGUUACUUGGCUAAUUAAUUAGAUAAUAAAUGCUAGAGUUAAGUUUUCAUUUUUCAUUGCAGCACAUUGCAUAAAUGAUAGUGUUAUAAACAUGUACCUCUGCAUUAGGUAAGUGCAUUUUGGUCAGCUGAUUGAGUCAGAUUUUUAUUUUUGUAAUUCCUUUCCAGUUGACCUUUUUUGUACUGUAAAUUUAAAGUAGCUCUGUGACUACCUAUAAUUUGGGCCUUCCAAACAGCACCAAAUUGUGCUUUCCCACCCUUCCAUUUGUUACAGUGACUAGUGAAGACAGGCAACAUAUUAAUGCCAGUCCUAUAAAAAUAUCUGUGAAGAAAACACUUUUUUACCCCAAAGGGUAAGUUCUGUAUGAGUUUAUAUUAGGUAUUUCUCAAAGGACUUUUUUCACUUUUUAAGUUGGAGACAUAUGAGUCCUAAAAAUACUCAUAUUUGAGAAAAAAUAUCCCUACCGUUAUGUCACCACAAAAAUCAAUUGUCAGUAUAUGUUUAAGAGUAGCAAAUCAGUGUUAACUGAUUUGCAAAAAAAAUUCCUAUAGUCUGGAAUGUAAAGCCGUCUUUCAAAAUUCUCAUAGUAUUUCCAAUUUUUUUUUUUUUUUUAAUGUAGUGAACUUGUUAUCACAUACACAUAUUCUAGAGACCUUUCAAGAGUUUUAAUUUAAAACAAAAAUUAUAUGUAAUGUCAAAGUCUGAUAUCUUGCCUGUAGUCACAGAACCCACUUGCAGUACUUGCUGCUACUGAUGGCUUGUGGUAAUGUAUCAAUUUCUCCUGACAGAAAUGUGCACAGGACAAAUUGGUGAACGUAAUUUUCAGCCAUAUGACGUCAUUACAAAGACAGCCUUAGCUCUUCAAAAGUGGACUUUAUUGUUAAUGUAAAUAUAUAUCUGUAAUUACUGGCAUUUAUAUUAUUUGGCUCCCAUCCUAAGUUAUAGAUACAGUGAUGAUAAAAGGCAUUGCAAGCCCUUACCUAAGCAAACUGUGCUUACUAAUUACCUCCCAUGGUUCUGGGUUCCUGUAAAUAAAGUUACUCAUA